CCACACAGGUCUAAACUAAGACCAAAGAUUCUGGACAGUGAGAGCAAGCCACAGACCUUCCAGAUUGCCAUCAACAUCACAGAGGCCAAACAGCUGGUGGGGGAGAACAUUGACCCUAGCGUAACCAUGGAGAUAGGAGACGAAAAGAAACAGACCACCGUCAAGGAGGGCACCAACGCCCCCUUCUUCAAUGAGUACUUCGUAUUUGAUUAUUAUGGCCAUCAAGAGAGAUUUUUUGACAAAGUCAUCAAACUAUCAGUG